rnacentral:rRNA from 1 species
AACGAACGUUAGCGGCGCGCUUAACACAUGCAAGUCGAACGAGAAAGGGCUUCGGCCCCGGUACAGUGGCGCACGGGUGAGUAACACGUGGGUAAUCUACCCUCGAGCGGGGGAUAACGUUCCGAAAGGAACGCUAAUACCGCAUAAGACCACGGCUUCGAGAGAAGCUGCGGUCAAAGUAGGCCUCUGAAUUCACGCUUACUCUUGAGGAUGAGCCCGCGGCCCAUCAUGGUAGUUGGUAGGGUAACGGCCUACCAAGCCGAAGACGGGUAGCUGGUCUUAGAGGAUGAUCAGCCACACUGGAACUGAGACACGGUCCAGACUCCUACGGGAGGCAGCAGUGGGGAAUCUUGCGCAAUGGGCGAAAGCUUGACGCAGCGACGCUGCGUGGGUGAUGAAGGCCUUCGGGUCGUAAAGCUCUGUGGGGAGAGACGAAUAAGACGUGGCUAACAUCCACGGCGAUGACGGUAUCUCCUUAGCAAGCACCGGCUAACUCUGUGCCAGCCGCCGCCGUAAUAC